rnacentral:rRNA from 1 species
AUUGAACGCUGGCGGCAGGCCUAACACAUGCAAGUCGAGCGGAUGAAGGGGGCUUGCUCCUGGAUUCAGCGGCGGACGGGUGAGUAAUGCCUAGGAAUCUGCCUGGUCGUGUGGGAUAACGUCCGGAAACGGGCGCUAAUACCGCAUACGUCCUGAGGGAGAAAGUGGGGGAUCUUCGGACCUCACGCUAUCAGAUGAGCCUAGGUCGGAUUAGCUAGUUGGUGGGGUAAAUGCCUACCAAGGCGACGAUCCGUAACUGGUCUGAGAGGAAGAUCAGUCACACUGGAACUGAGACACGGUCCAGACUCCUACGGGAGGCAGCAGUGGGGAAUAUUGGACGAUGGGGCAAAGGCGGAUCCAGCCAUGCCGAGGGUGGGAAGAAGGUCUUCGGAUGGUAAAGCACUUUAAGUUGGGAGGAAGGGCAGUAAGUUAAUACCUGGUUGUUUUGACGUUACCAACAGAAUAAGCACCGGCUAACUUCGUG